GGAGCCGAAGGGAAACCGAGUCUUAACUGGGCGUUAAGUUGCAGGGUAUAGACCCGAAACCCGGUGAUCUAGCCAUGGGCAGGUUGAAGGUUGGGUAACACUAACUGGAGGACCGAACCGACUAAUGUUGAAAAAUUAGCGGAUGACUUGUGGCUGGGGGUGAAAGGCCAAUCAAACCGGGAGAUAGCUGGUUCUCCCCGAAAGCUAUUUAGGUAGCGCCUCGUGAAUUCAUCUCCGGGGGUAGAGCACUGUUUCGGCAAGGGGGUCAUCCCGACUUACCAACCCGAUGCAAACUGCGAAUACCGGAGAAUGUUAUCACGGGAGACACACGGCGGGUGCUAACGUCCGUCGUGAAGAGGGAAACAACCCAGACCGCCAGCUAAGGUCCCAAAGUCAUGGUUAAGUGGGAAACGAUGUGGGAAGGCCCAGACAGCCAGGAUGUUGGCUUAGAAGCAGCCAUCAUUUAAAGAAAGCGUAAUAGCUCACUGGUCGAGUCGGCCUGCGCGGAAGAUGUAACGGGGCUAAACCAUGCACCGAAGCUGCGGCAGCGACACUGUGUGUUGUUGGGUAGGGGAGCGUUCUGUAAGCCUGUGAAGGUGUGCUGUGAGGCAUGCUGGAGGUAUCAGAAGUGCGAAUGCUGACAUAAGUAACGAUAAAGCGGGUGAAAAGCCCGCUCGCCGGAAGACCAAGGGUUCCUGUCCAACGUUAAUCGGGGCAGGGUGAGUCGACCCCUAAGGCGAGGCCGAAAGGCGUAGUCGAUGGGAAACAGGUUAAUAUUCCUGUACUUGGUGUUACUGCGAAGGGGGGACGGAGAAGGCUAUGUUGGCCGGGCGACGGUUGUCCCGGUUUAAGCGUGUAGGCUGGUUUUCCAGGCAAAUCCGGAAAAUCAAGGCUGAGGCGUGAUGACGAGGCACUACGGUGCUGAAGCAACAAAUGCCCUGCUUCCAGGAAAAGCCUCUAAGCAUCAGGUAACAUCAAAUCGUACCCCAAACCGACACAGGUGGUCAGGUAGAGAAUACCAAGGCGCUUGAGAGAACUCGGGUGAAGGAACUAGGCAAAAUGGUGCCGUAACUUCGGGAGAAGGCACGCUGAUAUGUAGGUGAAGUCCCUCGCGGAUGGAGCUGAAAUCAGUCGAAGAUACCAGCUGGCUGCAACUGUUUAUUAAAAACACAGCACUGUGCAAACACGAAAGUGGACGUAUACGGUGUGACGCCUGCCCGGUGCCGGAAGGUUAAUUGAUGGGGUCAGCGCAAGCGAAGCUCUUGAUCGAAGCCCCGGUAAACGGCGGCCGUAACUAUAACGGUCCUAAGGUAGCGAAAUUCCUUGUCGGGUAAGUUCCGACCUGCACGAAUGGCGUAAUGAUGGCCAGGCUGUCUCCACCCGAGACUCAGUGAAAUUGAACUCGCUGUGAAGAUGCAGUGUACCCGCGGCAAGACGGAAAGACCCCGUGAACCUUUACUAUAGCUUGACACUGAACAUUGAGCCUUGAUGUGUAGGAUAGGUGGGAGGCUUUGAAGUGUGGACGCCAGUCUGCAUGGAGCCGACCUUGAAAUACCACCCUUUAAUGUUUGAUGUUCUAACGUGGACCCGUGAUCCGGGUUGCGGACAGUGUCUGGUGGGUAGUUUGACUGGGGCGGUCUCCUCCUAAAGAGUAACGGAGGAGCACGAAGGUUGGCUAAUCCUGGUCGGACAUCAGGAGGUUAGUGCAAUGGCAUAAGCCAGCUUGACUGCGAGCGUGACGGCGCGAGCAGGUGCGAAAGCAGGUCAUAGUGAUCCGGUGGUUCUGAAUGGAAGGGCCAUCGCUCAACGGAUAAAAGGUACUCCGGGGAUAACAGGCUGAUACCGCCCAAGAGUUCAUAUCGACGGCGGUGUUUGGCACCUCGAUGUCGGCUCAUCACAUCCUGGGGCUGAAGUAGGUCCCAAGGGUAUGGCUGUUCGCCAUUUAAAGUGGUACGCGAGCUGGGUUUAGAACGUCGUGAGACAGUUCGGUCCCUAUCUGCCGUGGGCGCUGGAGAACUGAGGGGGGCUGCUCCUAGUACGAGAGGACCGGAGUGGACGCAUCACUGGUGUUCGGGUUGUCAUGCCAAUGGCACUGCCCGGUAGCUAAAUGCGGAAGAGAUAAGUGCUGAAAGCAUCUAAGCACGAAACUUGCCCCGAGAUGAGUUCUCCCUGACCCUUUAAGGGUCCUGAAGGAACGUUGAAGACGACGACGUUGAUAGGCCGGGUGUGUAAGCGCAGCGAUGCGUUGAGCUAACCGGUACUAAUGAACCGUGAGGCUUAACCUUACAACGCCGAAGGUGUUU
rnacentral:rRNA from 1 species